UACAGAGGUCCCAAGCGUUGUUCGGAUUCAUUGGGCGUAAAGGGUGCGUAGGCGGCGUCGUAAGUCGGGUGUGAAAUUUCGGAGCUCAACUCCGAAACUGCAUUCGAUACUGCGGUGCUUGAGGACUGGAGAGGAGACUGGAAUUUACGGUGUAGCAGUGAAAUGCGUAGAGAUCGUAAGGAAGACCAGUGGCGAAGGCGGGUCUCUGGACAGUUCCUGACGCUGAGGCACGAAGGCCAGGGGAGCAAACGGG
rnacentral:rRNA from 1 species